GAUGAAGAACGCAGCGAAAUGCGAUAAGUAAUGUGAAUUGCAGAAUUCAGUGAAUCAUCGAAUCUUUGAACGCACAUUGCGCCCGCCAGUAUUCUGGCGGGCAUGCCUGUUCGAGCGUCAUUACAACCCUCAGGCCCCCGGGCCUGGCGUUGGGGAUCGGCGGAGCCCCCCGUGGGCACACGCCGUCCCCCAAAUGCAGUGGCGGUCCCGCCGCAGCUUCCAUCGCGUAGUAGCUAACACCUCGCGACUGGAGAGCGGCGCGGCCACGCCGUAAAACACCCAACUCUUCUGAAGUUGACCUCGAAUCAGGUAGGAAUACCAGCUGAACUUAAGCAUAUCAAUAAGCGGAGGA
rnacentral:misc_RNA from 1 species